rnacentral:rRNA from 1 species
UACGGGGGGAGCAAGCGUUGUUCGGAUUUACUGGGCGUAAAGGGCGCGUAGGCGGUCAGCACAAGUCAGUUGUGAAAUCUCCGGGCUUAACUCGGAAAGGUCAACUGAUACUGUGCGACUAGAGUGCAGAAGGGGCAACUGGAAUUCUCGGUGUAGCGGUGAAAUGCGUAGAUAUCGAGAGGAACACCUGCGGCGAAGGCGGCUUUCUGGGCCUUACCUGACGCUGAGACGCGAAAGCGUGGGGAGCGAACCGG